rnacentral:rRNA from 1 species
CCUACGGGAGGCAGCAGUAGGGAAUUUUCGGCAAUGGGGGGAACCCUGACCGAGCAACGCCGCGUGAACGUAGAUGUUAUUCGUAAUGUAAAGUUCUUUUAACAGGGAAGAAUGAGAAAUUUGACGGUACCUGAAGAAUAAGCUUCGGCUAACUACGUGCCAGCCGCCGCGGUAAUACGUAGGGAGCGAGCGUUAUCCGGAACUAUGGGGCGUAAGGGGUGCGUAGAUGGAAUAGUAAGUCUUUUGUAAAGAUGCUGGGCUCAAGCCAGUAGGGCAAAAGAUACUGCAAAGCUAGAGUAUGACAGAGGCAAGUGGAACUACAGGUGUAGCGGUAAAAUGCGUAAAUAUAUGUAAGAACACCAGUGGCGAAGGCGGCUUGCUGGGUCGAUACUGACAUUGAGGCACGAAAGCGUGGGGAGCAAACAGGAUUAGAUACCCUGGUAGUC